GAUGAACGCUAGCGGCGUGCCUAAUACAUGCAAGUCGAGCGAACAGACGAGGAGCUUGCUCCUCUGACGUUAGCGGCGGAAGGGUGAGUAACACGUGGAUAACCUACCUAUAAGACUGGGAUAACUUCGGGAAACCGGAGCUAAUACCGGAUAAUAUAUUGAACCGCAUGGUUCAAUAGUGAAAGACGGUUUUGCUGUCACUUAUAGAUGGAUCCGCGCCGCAUUAGCUAGUUGGUAAGGUAACGGCUUACCAAGGCAACGAUGCGUAGCCGACCUGAGAGGGUGAUCGGCCACACUGGAACUGAGACACGGUCCAGACUCCUACGGGAGGCAGCAGUAGGGAAUCUUCCGCAAUGGGCGAAAGCUUGACGGAGCAACGCCGCGUGAGUGAUGAAGGUCUUCGGAUCGUAAAACUCUGUUAUUAGGGAAGAACAAAUGUGUAAGUAACUAUGCACGUCUUGACGGUACCUACUCAGAAAGCCACGGCUAACUACGUG
rnacentral:rRNA from 1 species